GAUGAACGCUAGCGGCAGGCUUAAUACAUGCAAGUCGAGGGGCAGCAGGGUGUAGCAAUACAUCGCUGGCGACCGGCAAACGGGUGCGGAACACGUACACAACUUUCCUUUAAGUGGGGAUAGCCCAGAGAAAUUUGGAUUAAUACCCCGUAAUAUUAUGAAGUGGCAUCAUUUUAUUAAUUAUAGCUCCGGCGCUUGAAGAUGGGUGUGCGGCUGAUUAGGUAGNGGUCAGGGUAAUGGCCUACCAAGACGAUGAUCUGUAU
rnacentral:rRNA from 1 species